GUGAGGUAUGGAGAAACUAAGCAAGGAAGGUUUAUAUAUCUGUGGAAAGUCCAGGGUGAGAGAAGAACUCUUGUCAGUUGGAGGCCAGUGUGAAUGUUGUAGUUAAUCACCCUAAUUAGCAUUGGAAAGGUUUUGUCUCUUGCCUGGGGGCAUCCUUUGUUCAGUCAUUAGCUGUCCUCUGCCCUCAGAGUGUUGGUUCCCAACUACUGUUUUGAUUUUAGAGUUUUUUAAUACUGGUUUUUGCCUUCCUCUAGAGCUGAGAGAGUAGAAUUUACCUGUGGGCACUCAGUGGGUUUUUAUGGUCAAGUGGGGACUAAAAAACCACUAAAUCCCCCAUUACUCAUACAUACACACACACACACACACACACUUUGCUGUAUUGCAAUUGAUGCCCUGAAAAUAUGUCUGAAAGGGAAGGUUUCUUGAAAUGGUCAUCCUGUGUAAGUAGCAAAAGAAAACACAAAAUAGCAAUGGCAGAUAGUAGUGAUAAGCAUAGUAAGAUUUUAAGCCUGUAGAAAAGGAUACGGUUGUCAUAGAAUAGGUUUGGAAAGGUUCCACUUUGUGCCAACCCCUCUGCUGUAAGAAUACAUUUGAGUGUCAUUGGGUUGUGUCUGUACUGAAAAGGGAAGGACUAUAAAACUGAUAGCAUGGGACCAAACAGAAACUGGGGUUGGCAUAGCAAAGUUACGGACAUUUUUGGAACGUCUGUAUGCUUUAGCUAAUUUCCAUGCUAAAACGGUUACCUACAGGUCUAGGAUGAUGAUUACAGGACUCUGUACGUGAGUCACAACAAUGUCAGGUUGUGGAAUAUUCUAAGUUUUAACAUAAAUAUGAUGCUGCUUGUAAAUGUCUAUAUAGAAGUGUAGAAAUUGUGAAAAUUUAUCUUUGUUCAUGGCUCCACAUUUUGAGAGAUGGGUGCUAUUGUAUAUCAUCAUCAUCAUCAUACCAUGGUCUAUCAGCUGUGGCCAAGGGCUGGGUAUGAUCAUCUUCCAGGUGGUAGGAUCAUUUUUCUCUUUUGACUGCAAGGACAUGAUAACAAUAACAAUGUCUGCUUUGUAUCAUCCCAAACUAUUUCCAUUUCCAUUUCUAGCCACCACUGCAGACUUUACUAAUUUAGCUCGGAUACUAGCUGUGCCUGGCCACGCGUUGCUGUGGCGAAGUAUGGUGGUAUGGGAAAUAAAGUAUAUUAUCUGCUUAGAACUGGAUUAUAUGAGGUCCCUUCUACAGAGCUGUAUAAAAUGCACACUGAAGUGGAUUAUAUGGCAGUGUGGAGUCAAGAUAAUCCAGCAGGCAGUGAGAAGAGUGAGGAGUGAAGGAAGUUGGAAAAGAUAA
rnacentral:lncRNA from 1 species